UUUUUCUUUUGUUUUAUAUGUACGUCACAUCAAUAGAUGGGGUGAAUGCAAAUGGGCAACAGCUAUAUAUAGUCCCACCAUGUCGUGUUAAGAUCAUUCUCCGUUCAUUCUCCAUUCUCAUAAGGUACAAGCAAACAAACCUGAUCAACAUGAGCCAGCUACAAAAAUCUAGCCCCCACUGGACAGCACAACCCAAUUGCCAAUCAAUAAAAAAGCAUGGCGAUGAAAUCCACAUAACUUCCAAGGCUCUAGAUAUCGUAUGGGGCAAUGAUCCACGUUUUUGGCAAUGGACAAAGCUUACAACGCAAGACUCUGAGUAAGUGAUUGGUGCGGAGCUCCUUCAAGUGAACUGGAUCGAAGUUGCCGGCAAGUUGUACAUGUCCAAUUUCCGGGCUGGGACAUGGGAAAUCUUCUACGUGGUCAAGUUCAAGGUGGAUGCAUUUGGCUGGCACUCUUCUCCAGUUAAAUUCAAGGUGAGCACCACAGAUGGGCAAAAGGACAACGUAAGACACAAGCUAGAGAAUUACAGGGUGGUGACCGAUAGGUGGCACGAGAUCAAUGGCGGCAAAUUCAACGUAGGGUCCUGUGGCCAGAGGGGAAUAGUUCAGUUUGGCAUGUAUGAAGUUGAAAGUGAUUGGUGGAAGGGCAGCAUGAUUCUUGAAGGAGUUAAGAUCAAGCUCAAGCAAUGAAGGGCGUAAUGCUACGUCAUGCUCGACUGAGGAGAGUAAAUGAGGAGGAGAUUUGCGGCACAUGUAUCAAGUAGUACACAUGCGUGAGAUCCGUAUCAUACAUCAGCGGGACCCACAUUAAGAAUUGGGCUGAUCCACUUAUCAUGUGGGCUGCCCGUGUUUGUUUCAUGUAGACAGCUGCUGUUCAUUUUUCUUUGUGACCAUCCGUCAUUCUCACAGGUGUGUGGACCUCCUAAUAGGCGGAAUGAGAGGGCAUGCGCAAGGUGGAUCAGACCUGAUGAACGGCUCAGAUCUCACCUAUAAGUGCGAUAUUGGAGCAAGUGCCACAAGUCUCUUCUUCUGUUUGCAUUCGAGAGGGAGAGUUUAGUAGCGAGAUGGACCUUGUGUUAACUCUAAAUUGUUGUAACAAUGGACAGUUUGGUUUGAUA